rnacentral:lncRNA from 1 species
CGGAGGAGGACCCGGAGCUUCUGGGAGCUCAAGGGUCCGAGGUGGUGGAGAGCCAAAUAUCCAAAUAUUAGGGUUGAGGAGCCGGGCCUCCAAGGUGGAAGCCCAAGGGUCCAAGGUGGUGGAGACCCGGGUGUUAGGGCUGAGGACACCCAAGGGUCCGAGGUGGAGGACACCCAAGGGUCCAAGGUGGUGGAGACCCAGAUGUCUGGGAGGAGGACACCCAAGAGUCUUAGGUGGAGGACAUGCAAUUACCCAUGGUGGUGGAGACCCAGAUGCUUGGGUUGAGGACACCCAAGGGUCCAAGGUGGUGGACACCCAAAUGCUUGGGAUGAGGAGACCCAAGUGUCCGAGGUGGAGGACACCCAAACGUCUAAGGUGGUGGGGUCUCAGAUUUUUGGGCUGAGGACACCCAAGGGUCCAAGGUCGUAGAGACCCAAAUAUCAGGGCUGAGGACACCCAAGGGUCCGAGGUGGAGGACGCCCAAGGGUCUAUGGUGGUGGAGACCUAGAUAUCAGGGCUGAGGACACCCAAGCGCUGAAGAUGGUGGAGACCCAGGGGUCUGAGGUGGUGGGGACCCAAAUGCUUGGGAUGAGGACCCCCAAGGGUCUGAGGUGGUGGAGACCCAAAUAUCAGGGGUGAGGAUCCAGGUGUCCAAGGUGGAGGACACCCAAGUGUUCAAGGGGGUGGAGACCGAGAUGUUUGGGCUGAGGACACCCAAGUGUCCAAGGUCGUAGAGACCCAAAUAUCAGGGCUGAGGACACCCAAGGGUCCAAGGUGGAGGAGACCCAAGUGCCCAAGGUGGAGGACACCCAAGGGUCUAAGGUGGUGGAGAACCUGGUAUUUGGGAUGAGGACACCCAAGUGUUGAAGGUGAUGGAGACCCAAGUGUCCAAGGUGUUGAAGACCCAGAUGUUUGGGAUGAGGACACCCAAGUGUCCGAGGUUGUGGGGUCCCAGAUGUUUGGGUCGAGGCCACCUAUGGGUCCAAGGCGGUGGAGACCCAAGUGUCCAAGGCGGUGGAGACCUAACUAUCAGGGCUGAGGUACACCCGAGCAUCCGUGGUGGAAGGCCACCCAAGGGUCCACGCGUGGAGGAGCCCCCGGGGGGGUGCGAGGCACCCACGGCGCUGGCUCGGUGCGCCGGCAGGUGGACGCGCAGCUGCUGGUGGUGCAGAAGCUGGAGGAGAAGGAGCGGGUGCUGCAGAGCAGCCUGGCCUCGGUGGAGAAGGAGCUGGCGCUGCGCUCGCAGGCCCUGGAGCUCAACAAGAGGAAGGCGGUGGAGGCGGCGCAGCUGGCCGAGGACCUGCGGGCGCAGGGGGAGCACGUCCAGGCCCGGCUGCGGGAGCUGCAGGCCUGCGCCGCCGAAAACCGGGCGGCCAAGGACAAGGAGUCCCUCAGCCUCAAGAGGGCCCAGGUGGGCGCCUAU